AUUGAACGCUGGCGGCAGGCCUAACACAUGCAAGUCGAACGAGUGGCGGACGGGUGAGUAAUGUCUGGGCAACUGCCUGAUGGAGGGGGAUCACUACUGGACACGGUAGCUAAUACCGCAUACCAUCAGAUGUGCCCAGAUGGGAUUAGCUUGGUGGUGGGGUAACGGCGCACCAAGGCGACGAUCCCUAGCUGGUCUGAGAGGAUGACCGGCCACACGGGAACUGAGACACGGUCCAGCCUCCUGCGGGAGGCAGCAGUGGGGAAUAUUGCACAAGGGGCGCAAGCGUGAUGCAGCCAUGCCGCGUGUAGGAAGAAGGCCUGCGGGUUGUAAAGUACUUUCAGCGGGGAGGCGUUACCCGCAGAAGAAGCACCGGCUAACUCCGUGCCAGCAGCCGCGAAUUC
rnacentral:rRNA from 1 species